rnacentral:lncRNA from 1 species
AUGGUUUCUACCCUUAUAGAUGCGGUUUUCGGGGGAGAUGACAUGCUCCCGUUCGAUAUAAGACACAUUUGUAAAAUGAUUUUUGAUGGAGCAGGGAUGAUUGUUUUUAAACAAGAAUGGGAAGAUAACUGUGUGAAACAAUUAGCCCAAGUGUCUGGGAAGCGUCACCCGUUACAUGGCUCCAGCUUGCCGCGCCUAAUGGGCACGGAUCCAACAAUGCUUACCCCCCAGGCACAAGCUCAAGGCCUGCGGGCCCACAAAGUCAUGAUAACGACUCAUACAGCUAGGGACGCUAUUCACACAACUUCCAGAACUAUUGUCAAGCCAUCGCCAUGGUCCACCAUAAAACAAAAUGAAAGUGAGAGCUUUACACAAUUUGUAGAUCAUCUCCAAGCAGCAGUCGACUCCUCGACCCUGCCUCCAGAAGCCAAAGACCCAGUUGUUGCGGACUGUUUGCGUCAACAGCGUAAUGCGAAAACCAAAGAAAUUCUACGAUCACUGCCAGCGGGGUCAAGUGUCGAGACCAUGAUUAAACGCGUCGCGAAUGAAGAGCAGCUGACCCCGUUUCAAGCGGCUGCUACAGUGAUGGCUACUGUAAUGGCAUGUUUUAAAUGCGGCCAGAAAGGCCAUGUGGUAGCUAACUGCCCUCAGUUGGGGGACCCACCAACAGCGCCCCCCCCCCGCAAAAAUCCACCCAAAGGACCAUGUUGGGUUUGUGGAAGGACAGGACAUUUCGCUAGGGAAUGCACCCGUAAAGCUCAACCUCAGGGAAACGGGAGGGAGAGAGGGCGCUCGGGCCACGCUCGGCCCUCUCCCACUUGGGAUAUGAGGCGGCCCAACUAUGCCAACCCCAGAUGGGGCGAAGCACUCCCGAAUCCGCUGCCCCCUCGAGAAGCGACCAACUUCAUAGCUCAACCGACAGUUCAGUCGAAUCUGCCCCUAUCUCAGGGACAGCAAGGACAACUCUAUGGGGGCGAGACCCCAGGGUGGCCUUGGCAAUAA